rnacentral:rRNA from 1 species
UUGCAACAUUUCGAUUUCACUUUUAGGCGGCGGCGUCGGGUCGAGAUAUUUUUUGCACGACCGAGUGAGUGAAGUACGUAGGUCUCAGGUGGUUAAAAACAAAGAACGUCACGAGCUCGCCGCGGCGCUACCUCAGUGUGCGGCAAGGAUCGCUCGUCGGGCGCAUGUUCGGCGACGGUAGGUGGCAGUUGCUCCUGCGGGUACUCGUAGUCUCGCCGCCGUACUCCACCGCACGCACGCGACGGAACGACCGCCGGAGUCGGCACCACGACCACCACCACGACCAGUGGCGGUGGUGCGGCCCUCCUCCUCGGUCCCACCUGGUCCGCAGCCAGUUACCGCGGCUGCUCCUACGGCCGCCCAAGGGCACCUCGUUGCUCUACGACGUCACCGUCGCUCGGUGCAAGGUAAAGGUCGGGCUCUUCUUGAAGUACUCGCUAGGGUUGCCAAACCAUAUGAUGGCACCUACCAUGGUGUACAAGAUGGUCAUGUUGGGCUUCCCAUAACGAACCCGGAAACCGUAAAACACCCCGGUACGGCGCAGGGCUCUGUAGCAGGUGACCACGGUUGAAGGUAAUCGACACGAAGGACUGGUCACCAUACUGUAGGUUCCACAGAACAGUCCGUGGUAGUGACACGAAGGAUUGCCGUGUGAGUAGUACGAGAUGUGACCACGGUGGUUACAUAGGUGGCAACUCCAGGUCACGCAACGGCAGGGGCUGCUGGGUUUGCUAGGGGAGGAGGCGGCGACCUGGUUCGUGGGGCGGUUGGGGCAGGAGAAGAGCGGUGGCACCUAGUCGUGGUUGCUGAAGGCUCUGGGGUGGAGGCGCACCAUACUACCGAGACUAGUGUGUACCGCGUGGCAGGAGCCCAGGUUCCUACUGGUGUUACCAGUGGUGCGACCGUAGCGGAAGUACAUGUUCUGAUUCCUGAAGGAAUUGAUACUCGAGCAGGGCCCAUAGAACGUGGCACAGCUCUUGUGGCCGCUCACCCUCACGUAGCUGAAGAUGGGCCAGCCACCGCCGUUGUUGAGUAGUCUUCACAACAUGCACGACUUCCGCUCGUACCUGCUACUUGCUGUACUGAUGAUGAGUGACCCCUCCAUGCUGCGCCGCCGUUUGUGUACCUGGGGUCACCUGGGACUCCGGCUGAACCCCUAGCCCGAUUCCAUGCUGACCCCGUUCGAAAUACGUAGGUCGAGUAAGAUACUAGGCCACUUCGCCGCCGCGUAAUACUACCCAAUACAGCCACUCCAGCUGAGGCGCUUCCGGCUGCAUCGGUUUCCUACCCGGAGUUAGGUCAGUCAAGGUUCCUGCCACCGAGACCUGCUCUUUUGGUCCUGUUUGGAGGAGAAUACCGGACACCUCCUCUAGCUCUGGGAAGCGGAGUUACGGUGGCUUGAGUCGCUGUAGUGGUAACUUUGACCGAAACAGAAGAUACAGGGCGAGUCGGUUCGACUAGUUGAGCUGUAGCUCCGGAGGAAGGCGGAGCUGCGAAGACGAUAGCGACGGGAGUUACUCCGGCUGUAGCCGAUGUUGACGUCGUUGUCGCCACCACGACGGAGGGCGCCACGCGAACCGGGGAAACCGGAGUAGCAGGAACGUAGGUCGCUGACAACACCACUCGUCUGCCGUCACAUGAAGAUACACAGGUCCCCGGAGCUGCCCCGGGAAGUCUGGUUAAAAACGGUUCUGCUCAGUGCAAGAAGUGCUCGGUCCCUGCACUGCUUCGCCCACCACCCUUCGUGCCAUGGUCAAGAUCUACCACUCCGAAACAGCUACUCCCACGAACACCUGGUGAGGUAACACGUCUCGAAACGCUACCCGCCCUCCACGUGUUACUGUAGUGCCCACAUAGGCUGCCUCCGCUAGAUACUCCGCCGUCCCCACAUGGACAAGUUAUUACCGUGGUUGUCAUCACACCACCGCCUUUCUGAACAGCACGUGCUCUACCUGAGGCGUGGGUUGUUCUAGUAGUGCCUACUAUUUAUAAACGUAAAACUUACUUCUAGAACACACGGUUGUCACUGGUGGUUUCACAAUCUAGUUUCUUAGGGUUGUCCCUUCCUAUUCUGUAUAGGUUUAUUAAAAUGUGCGGGAGCAGCCCCGACUUUGUACAUGGUAACCUGAUAAAACAAAAGGUAAGUACUGUGUC